rnacentral:rRNA from 1 species
UACAGAGGUCCCGAGCGUUGUUCGGAUUUACUGGGCGUAAAGGGUGCGUAGGCGGUGGGGUAAGUUUGAGGUGAAAGCUCCGGGCUCAACCCGGAAAAUGCCUUGAAAACUAUCCGGCUAGAGGGUUGGAGGGGAGACUGGAAUUCUCGGUGUAGCAGUGAAAUGCGUAGAUCUCGAGAGGAACACCAGUGGCGAAGGCGGGUCUCUGGACAACACCUGACGCUGAGGCACGAAGCCAGGGGAGCAAACGGGG